rnacentral:rRNA from 1 species
AUUGAACGCUGGCGGCAGGCCUAACACAUGCAAGUCGAACGAGUGGCGGAAGUGUGAGUAAUGUCUGGGAAACCGCCUGAUGGAGGGGGCUCAGUACUGGACACGGUAUCUACUACCGCAUACUAUCGGAUGCGCCCAUAUGGGAUUAGCUAGUAGGUGGGGUAACGGCUCACCUAGGCGACGCUCCCUAGCUGGUCUGAGGGGAUGACCAGCCACGCUGGAACUGAGAAACGGUCCAGACUCCUACGGGAGGCAGCAGUGGGGAAUAUUGCACAAUGGGCGAAAGCCUGAUGCAGCCAUGCCGCGGGUAUGAAGAAGGCCUUCGGGUUGGAAAGCACUUUAAGCGGGGAGGCGUUACCAGCAGAAGAAGCACCGGCUAACUCCGUGCCAGCAGCCGCGGUAAUAC